UACGUAGGUGGCGAGCGUUAUCUGGAAUUAUUGGGCGUAAAGAGCGCGCAGGUGGUUGAUUAAGUCUGAUGUGAAAGCCCACGGCUUAACCGUGGAGGGUCAUUGGAAACUGGUCGACUUGAGUGCAGAAGAGGGAAGUGGAAUUCCAUGUGUAGCGGUGAAAUGCGUAGAGAUAUGGAGGAACACCAGUGGCGAAGGCGGCUUCCUGGUCUGUAACUGACACUGAGGCGCGAAAGCGUGGGGAGCAAACAGGAUUAGA
rnacentral:rRNA from 1 species